GGUGCAGGACAAUGCGGCUGUCAAGGGACUGAACCUGCUCUCAUGAGAACUGCACAGCACAUGAAAGGGCAGAAAUAUGCCUGCUGGCUAGACAAAUUAUCCCAGAGCCAUGCACUUCUCCAGAUGCAGAUUCUGAGACAAAACCAAACUUGGAUCUCAUCCAUCCACCCUUAGUACUUGAGACAGCUUUGUGGAAAAAUGGCCAUGAUUUUUGACACUGUUGGUCCAAGACUUCAUGACUUGCACAAGAAAGUGAAAUAGAAGGCACUGGAGAUGUUGGCUUUGAUGAUACCACUGCUCAGAGAUGCUUUAUAGCUAGUGCUGUACGGUGUGGUGUCAGCAGUCAGUAACAACCUGACUCAAAGCACCUGGGGAUUUAUGUUGCAGCUCUGAAAGGGCUGGAAGAAUCCAUUGCUCGUCUAGUUCCACCAGGGAAGGAGACUCAGGCUGCUCCAUGUGGCUUGCAGAAGAUACAUAUAUCUGCUUGGUGAAACUCCAGUGAAGUGUUUCUAGUCUGGUGAGAUGCAUCCAUGCCUGGAUUUCCCUUUGGAUCUGCUGGUGUAGCUUCAGAAGCACGCUGGCAGUACUUGUGCUACUACUGUCAUCGCUGCAGCUGCAACCAGAAGUUUCUGGUCCUU